CUCCUCCAAACUCAAGAAGACGACUCGCCGGCGGUGCUUCCGGUGCCUCGCGACGAACCACGUCGUCUUCGACUGUAGGGACCCCGUUCGUUGCGCCCGCUGCUGCUGCUCCGGUCAAGGUAGCUUCAGGUGCAAAGCCCUUCACCUCCUUCCCUGUUUUCCAAAGAUGCCGCCCUCCCCUACCCGUCGUUCUAACCUGCUUUCUGUCCUGCCAGCUCCAUGGACGCGCUGCCCGACCACGCCGUCGCCGACGUCGAUCCUGCCAACCAGCCCCCCAUCGCUACGGCGCCGACAACGCUCCGCUUCGGCUCCUUCUAGGUGGAGGUCCACAACGUGUUGUGGAACGUAGUAAUUUCAAAAAAAAUUCUACGCACACGCAAGAUCAUGAUGAUACAUAGCAACGAGAGGGGAGAGUGUAGUCUAUGUACUCUCGUAGACCGUAAGUGGAAGCGUUAUGACAACGCGGUGAUAUAGUCGUACGUCUUCA
rnacentral:lncRNA from 1 species